rnacentral:rRNA from 1 species
UACGUAGGGUGCGAGCGUUGUCCGGAAUUACUGGGCGUAAAGAGCUCGUAGGUGGUUUGUCGCGUUGUUCGUGAAAACUCACAGCUCAACUGUGGGCGUGCGGGUGAUACGGGCAGACUGGAGUACUGCAGGGGAGACUGGAAUUCCUGGUGUAGCGGUGGAAUGCGCAGAUAUCAGGAGGAACACCGGUGGCGAAGGCGGGUCUCUGGGCCGAUACUGACGCUGAGGAGCGAAAGCGUGGGGAGCGAACAGG